rnacentral:snoRNA from 1 species
AUAUCGUGGUGUGAACAUUUUCUUAACAUUUCUUUUAACCUUUCCCAAGCUUGAUAAACUGACUCUGUGUCAUUCUGCUAGAAAUUAGAUAUGUCUUGUCUUAACUU